rnacentral:rRNA from 1 species
UACGUGGAGUCCAAGCGUUAUCCGGAUUUACUGGGCGUAAAGCGUCUGUAGGUGUCUCGUUAAGUCUUCGGUGAAAUCUCCGGGCCCAACUCGGAAACUGUCGAGGAAACUAGCGGGAUCGAGUGCGGUAGAGGUAGAUGGAAUUCCUGGUGUAGGGGUAAAAUCCGUUGAUAUCAGGAAGAACACCAGUGGCGAAGGCGAUCUACUGGGCCGUUACUGACACUGAGAGACGAAAGCGUGGGGAGCGAACGGG